GGGGGACGGUGAGCGGGGAGGCAAGCAGGAUUCUCGGCAGGGACUCCCUGUCCUGCGCUCAGCCCCCACCGCUCGCAGAGCCCAUGUUUGUCCAGGCCAGAGUCCAGCGUGUCUCAGCCCUGAGCCGCCAGGCAGGCUCCAGGGUCCUGGCUUGGACUGUGGCCCUGGCCUCUGCAUUCUCCUCGUAGCCGGCCAGGCCCCAGGGUGACGGCUCAGCCCCCCUUCACAGCUUAAGACCCCAUCGGCUCAGUGCCUGCCUGUCAGUAGCUGGGGGUCAGUUGAGGCUGUGCUGGGCUCCGAGAGCUGCAGGGCCACCUCCGGGGAUCCUCUUCCCAGCACGGGUGGCCUGACCUUGGGGCCCAAACCCAACAGCACAGCAUCUCCAGCCCUGCUUGCCUCCAAGCCCAGCCUUCCCUUGCCUUCCUUUGACCUAGCUGGUACAGUGGCCCACUUCCACAGAACAGGAGUCCCGCCUUAAUCCCACCUGCCAAGUCCUUGUCCCCUGUGAGGUGAUGUCCCCCUUGGUCCAGGAGUUCAGACACAGGUGCCUUGGGGGAGCGGUCUCCACGCGGCCCACCUGGACACUCGCUCCCGGAAUGCAGUCUCCCCUCCUAUCUCCGCCCUGGCUCAGCCAGCCCCACGGCCAGCACCUCCCUGGUGGCCCUCACCUGCCACCCCGUCCCUUCUGGAUGCUCAGCUGCCCCACAGUGGAGCCUUCCUGAACACAGCGCCAGCCUUGGCCUUGCGCCUGUGCGCCCAAGACAGGGUGGCCUCCCAGAGCGGGGCGGGGACACCCCUGAGGGAGGCGGGACCAGGGUCUCCGCAGGCCCUGGUGAGAGGCCUGGAGGCUGUCUCAGUUUCCCGAGCUGGGAAUGGGCACAAGCGCAGGAGGCAGGGUCAGGCCCCGACCAACCUCACAGCUGCUGGCCAGCUCGUGUGCUGCAUGGCCCCGGCCAGUGUGCUGACCUCUCCGUGGCCCCGGCCUCGGACAGCACAGAGCGAAUAACAGUGCCUAUUCCAGAAGAGUCACACAGCGCCGAAUGGGUCAUCCACCGAGGAGCUGGUGAGUGCUGGGGUGGAGCCAUUGUGAGGAGGGGCCAGGGUCUCAAGGAGCAGGUGUCAGGCGGGGAGGCCAGGCAGGGGAGGCCAGGCAGGGGAGGCCAGGUGGGGGAAGCCAGGUGGGGGAAGCCAGGUGUGAGAGGCCAGGUGGAGGAGGCCAAGUGUGGGAGGCCAGGUGUAGGAGGCCAGGUGUGGGCGGUCAGGUGUGGGAGGCCAGGUGUUGGAGGCCAGGCAGAGGAGGCCAGGUAUGAGAGGCCAGGUGUUGGGGGCCAGGUGUGGGAGGCCAGGCAGAGGAGGCCAGGCAUGGGAGGCCAGGUACGGGAGGCCGGCCCGAGCUUCUCAGGAAGAGUGUUUUCAGGCUCUAGGGGGAGGGCCGCCUUCCAGGCAAGUGACUGUAUGUUCUGGACUCUCCCAGGCACCCAUGAGCCGAGGACUCGGCAGACUUGGGAUACAGGGCCUGCUGCCCAUCUACUCCCCGUGUGAGGGGAAGACUGAGCUGGAGCCUCAGGCCCCUGGAAGCUUGCCUGCCCUUCCUUCCUUCCUUGGGGUCACAAUGGUGUCCCCCACCUGGACGCGCAGCUGCUCUGCUGGCUGGCCUGGAGGCCCCCGGCUCCUCCCUGGGGAGAGGGUGCCCUUACUCUCGACCGUGAUAUCAAUGUUCCUAUAGAACACCUUUGUAGCUUUCUCAGUGACGCCUGGAAUCUCCCCUGUGAGCUCUCAUUUUUCAAUGGGUGCCCCCAACCUGUCCCACUCCUGACUGGGUCAGGGAAAACACAAGCUGAGCCUGGAAUAUCUUGUGGGGCCAGAAAGCCAGGAAAUGUUCCCCAAUUUAAUUAAUUAGGAAAGUUAGAGCUUGUAGCAGACGCAGGGCACACCCUGGGAGUGCUGCCAGCAGCCACAGACUCAGGCUGGCGUAUUGUUACCCAGAGUGACACGUGUGUGCGAGCCGGGCCGGUGGAAACAGCCGCUUGUGUAAACAAACCAACAGGGACGAGAGCAGCGCUGCUUUCAGGAAACGUUCCCUCACAAGUGACAGGGAGAGAGGGAAAGAGCAGGGCGCCUGCGUGCGCCCGCUCCAGCUGCGGAGGGUCACGGGGCAGGAGGACAGACGUCCGUAGGCACGCAGAGCCUUGCACGCCUCUCUGGAGUCGCCUCAGCGUCAGUGAGGCUCCACGGCUCUGUCUUCAUGUCCACAGUGCAGCCAGCUUGUUCUCCACGGGGCGGGGUGCGAGGUGGGGGUGGGUGUCUGAGCAUGCUGGGGGCUGCCCAAGGACUGUCCCUGUGACAAGCAGAACCCUCCCCCAGGGAGCCAGCCACUGGUCUAGAGGGACUGGGCAGAUGGUCAGCUGGGCAGCUGGUGAGCUGGAUCGGUAGUCAGCUGGGUUGAGUAGUUAGAAGGGCUAGGUAGUAGGUAUCGAGCGUGGUCAGCUGG
ensembl:lncRNA